GACGAACGCUGGCGGCAUGCCUAAUACAUGCAAGUCGAGCGAACAGAUGAAGUGCUUGCACUUCUGACGUUAGCGGCGAACGGGUGAGUAACACGUAAGGAAUCUACCUAUAAGCGGGGGAUAACAUUCGGAAACGGGUGCUAAUACCGCAUAAUAUCUUCUUCCGCAUGGAAGAAGACUGAAAGACGGCUCUGCUGUCACUUAUCGAUGACCUUGCGGUGCAUUAGUUAGUUGGUGGGGUAACGGCCUACCAAGACGAUGAUGCAUAGCCGACCUGAGAGGUUGAUCGGCCAAAUUGGGACUGAGACACGGCCCAAACUACUACGGGAGGCAGCAGUAGGGCAUCUUCCGCAAUGGGCGAAAGCCUGACGGAGCAAUGCCGCGUGAGUGAAGAAGGCCUUCGGGUCGUAAAACUCUGUUAUAAGAGAAGAACAAAUUGUAGAGUAACUGCUACAGUCUUGACGGUAUCUUAUCAGAAAGCCACGGCUAACUACGUGCCAGCCGCCGCCGUAA
rnacentral:rRNA from 1 species